AAUAACCAAAUAUGAUACUCGGGCUAAGGGUCAAGUUGGUAAUUUUUCUUACAUCUCCCCCUCCCGGAGCCCAGGUAUCAUAUACGCCCCCAAAAUAAAGAGCCUUGAAUACUAGAAGAAAAGCACCUAGA
rnacentral:lncRNA from 1 species